CUGGCUUAGAGUUUACUGCCUUUAACUCCCUCUACAACGCCCGGAGGUUGUCACUUCGUGUUGAAGCUUGUGCUGAUUGACGCUGAGGGCUUCUGGAGCUAACUUCAGCCAUCACCAGGAGGUCCAGGUGACCAAGGCAGCUACUGCUCCAUGACAAGUUUGGGGAUUCCUCCAUUCGCAUCCUCUGCAUUCCUUGAUGCCAGGUCUGAUCUUGGAGGGUGUUGGCCUUGGCCAUGUCAAUGUCAUGUAGCUUCUUCACAGCAUGUUUGAUCGGGUGCUUGUUGACGUUGACAUCCACAAUGAAGGUGAAAGAACAAUUUGUUGAUUUACUAAGAAGCAGACUGUCACCAAAGUCAAUCCUGUGCUUAGCCUGUUGAAAUUUUUUUGGGCGACAACUUCCUCCAGGGACUGGCUUGUGUAUAUUGAGAGCAUGCCAUUCACCACCUCAAUUUCGGUGCUGGAAUGGCCUUGGAAUUCUAUGACGCCCACUCUUUUGAAUUGGAGAAGGGCACGGUGACAUUGGCAUUUCUGCUUGGGGCUAGUGGUUGAAUUGCCCUUUAAAACUAGUAGUUGGGUUGUGAUCCAAAGAUGGCUGCACACUGGAGCCAAAAGUUUCCACAAGGAUGUCAUUACGAGAAGUGACUUUCGUUACCAGAGGAGAAAACCGGCUCGCUCUCGAAAUAAUGAGGUCUCUGAAUGACGAGUGCCAUCUACAGCAUUUGAGUGAUACCCUGGAGAGAAAUCUUACACAAGGAACUUAACUUUGUUCAAAACUUUCUUGUUUGUCUUUUUCAUGAUCCAAUAUCAGUGUUUUCCUGGUGUCUAUGUUUUCUAUAAUUAGUAGGCACAAGGCGGAUAUCUAGGGAAUGUUGGAAAAAUAAAUGAAUCUUCAUGGCUAAAAUCA
rnacentral:lncRNA from 1 species